rnacentral:rRNA from 1 species
AGAGUUUGAUCAUGGCUCAGGAUAAACGCUAGCGGGAGGCUUAAUACAUGCAAGUCGAACGGCAGCAGGUCCUUCGGGACGCUGGCGAGUGGCGAACGGGUGAGUAACGCGUACACGAUCUGCCCAUAAGUCUGGGAUAGUCACUGGAAACGGUGAAUAAUACCGGAUGUGGAUAAAUUGCUUCAUGGUAAUUUAUUUAAAGGCUGGUCUGCUUAUGGAUGAGUGUGCGUCCUAUUAGUUAGUUGGUGAGGUAACGGCUCACCAAGACGAUGAUAGGUAGGGGGCGUGAGAGCGUGGACCCCCACACGGGUACUGAGACACGGACCCGACUCCUACGGGAGGCAGCAGUAAGGAAUAUUGGACAAUGGGCGAGAGCCUGAUCCAGCCAUCCCGCGUGCAGGAAGACGGCCCUUUGGGUUGUAAACUGCUUUUAUAAGGGAAGAAUAGCCCCGAUUGAUCGGGGUAUGACGGUACCUUAGGAAUAAGCACCGGCUAACUCCGUGCCAGCAGCCGCGGUAAUAC